rnacentral:rRNA from 1 species
GACGAACGCUGGCGGCGUGCUUAACACAUGCCAGUCGAACGAUGAUCCCCCGCUUGCGGGGGUGAUUAGUGGCGAACGGGUGAGUAAUACGUGCGUAACCUGCCCUUGUCUCUGGGAUAAGCCUGGGAAACCGGGCCUAAUACUGGCUACUACUUCCUGUCGCCUGGAGGGGGGUGGAAAGGGUUUUACUGGUUUUGGGUCGGCUCACGGCCUAUCAGCUUGUUGGUGGAGUAAUGGCUCACCAAGGCGACGACGGGUAGCCGGCCUGAGAGGGUGAGCGGCCACACUGGGACUGAGGGGAGGCACAGACUGCGAAGGGAGGCAGCAGUGGGGAAUAUUGCACGAUGAGCGGAGGGCGAAUGCAGCGACGCCGCGUAAGGGAUGACGGCCUUCGGAUUGUAGACCUCAUUCAGCAGGGAAGAAGCAAAAAGUGACGGUACCUGCAGAAGAAGCGCCGGCUAACUACGUG